rnacentral:rRNA from 1 species
GCGGUGGCUAGACCGGAUGUGCCGAAAGGCCGCAAGAUUUAUUAGCCUGAAGAUGAGCUCGCGUCUGAUUAGCUAGUUGGUGUGGUAAGAGCGCACCAAGGCGACGAUCAGUAGCUGGUCUGAGAGGAUGAUCAGCCACACUGGGACUGAGACACGGCCCAGACUCCUACGGGAGGCAGCAGUGGGGAAUUUUCCGCAAUGGGCGAAAGCCUGACGGAGCAAUACCGCGUGAGGGAGGAAGGCUCUUGGGUUGUAAACCUCUUUUCUCAGGGAAUAAAAAAAUGAAGGUACCUGAGGAAUAAGCAUCGGCUAACUCCGUGCCAGCAGCCGCGGUAAUACGGAGGAUGCAAGCGUUAUCCGGAAUGAUUGGGCGUAAAGCGUCCGCAGGUGGCACUGUAAGUCUGCUGUUAAAGAGCAAGGCUCAACCUUGUAAAGGCAGUGGAAACUACAGAGCUAGAGUACGUUCGGGGCAGAGGGAAUUCCUGGUGUAGCGGUGAAAUGCGUAGAGAUCAGGAAGAACACCGGUGGCGAAAGCGCUCUGCUAGGCCGUAACUGACACUGAGGGACGAAAGCUAGGGGAGCGAAUGGGAUUAGAUACCCCCNUAGUCAGGGGGGGCGUGUUGUGAACUCGACCUUUCUGAUUUUUAGCCCCCGGAAGCGAG